rnacentral:misc_RNA from 1 species
GUGGUGGAUCCUGAGUUAAAACAUUUCACAUAUGAUGACCUCAAAGUUAUAUGUGAAGUGGUAAGCCUGUGCAUCCAUCCAGAACCCGCAAAGCGACCAUCGAUGCAAGAAAUAAGCAGCAUGUUGGAGAGCAAAAUUGACACAUCUGUGUCCCUGGAGUUCAAGGCAUCUUCCUUGGCAUGGGCAGAGCUUGCACUGUCAUCGUG